rnacentral:rRNA from 1 species
AGGACGAACGCUGGCGGCGUGCCUAAUGCAUGCAAGUCGCACGCACGGAGCUUGCUCCGUGAGUGGCGCACGGCUGAGGAUCACGUGGGAACAUGCCUCCUUGUGGGGGACAACACCGCGAAAGCGGUGCUAAUCCCGCAUACGCUCGGCAACGAGGAAAGCGGUAACGCGCAGGGAGAGUGGCCCGCGGCCCAUCAGGUCGUAGGUGGGGUAAUGGCCUACCUAGCCGGUGACGGGUAGCUGGUCUGUGAGGACAGACAGCCAGACUGGGACUGAGACACGGCCCAGACUCCUACGGGAGGCAGCAGUGGGGAAUAUUGGACAAUGGGCGAAAGCCUGAUCCAGCCAUGCCGCGUGAGUGAAGAAGGCCUUAGGGUUGUAAAGCUCUUUCAACGGGGAAGAUAAUGACGGUACCCGCAGAAGAAGUCCCGGCUAACUUCGUGCCAGCAGCCGC